rnacentral:rRNA from 1 species
GACGAACGCUGGCGGCGUGCCUAAUACAUGCAAGUUGAGCGCUGAAGGGUGGUCCUUGUCCUAACUGGAUGAGCAGCGAACGGGUGAGUAACGCGUGGGGAAUCUGCCUUGUAGCGGGGGACAACAUUUGGAAACGAAUGCUAAUACCGCAUAAAAACUUUAAACACAAGUUGAAAGUUUGAAAGAUGCAAUUGCAUCACUCAAAGAUGAUCCCGCGUUGUAUUAGCUAGUUGGUGGGGUAAAGGCUCACCAAGGCGAUGAUACAUAGCCGACCUGAGAGGGUGAUCGGCCAAAAUGGGAAUGAGACACGGCCCAAACUCCUACGGGAGGCAGCAGUAGGGAAUCUUCGGCAAUGGGGGAAAGUCUGACCGAGCAAAGCCGGGUGAGUGAAGAAGGUUUUCGGAUCGUAAAACUCUGUUGGUAGAGAAGAACGUUGGUGAGAGUGGAAAGCUCAUCAAGUGACGGUAACUAAACAGAAAGGGACGGCUAACUACGUG